GACUGUUUAGUAUAAUUGGUUAAUACGUCUCAUUGCAAAUGAGAAAAUCUUGGUUCGAGCCCAACAAUAGUCU
rnacentral:tRNA from 1 species